UUAAAUACAUAUGUAUAUCUUACAGCCUUUCAAAAAGUAACUCUGCAAACAAAAUAUCCAGAAGUAGAGGAAGACUCUUAAUUCAGAAAGUCCUCAUUUAAGGUGUUAGUGAGUAUGCCCGUAAGAGCUAGAAUGCAUUCAACUUCUGGCCCAAUGGGUAUCUCCCUGUUUUAGUGUUUCCCGGGGCUCUCCCAGGACUCAGCAGAAGCCAGGUACCAGUUGGUUCUGGCCAACUUUGCUGCAAUAGCUGCAGAUGUCCCUGUCCCCUGCCCUUUCUGCUGGCUCCUCUGCCCCUGUCCAGAACGUGCUGAGCCAAAGAGAAGGUGAUGGGGGGGGGACUGAGGCACAGGUUUCUUCAGCCACUUAUGAAGAUGAGUUUGAGCAGACCCACCAGCUUGGGAGCUGUCAUGAAUUCACUGCAGGAACCACUCCAGCACUGAAGGAGGACUCCAGCCAGCAGCAGAGGAGCACUAGCACGCAGCUGGAAGAGACUAGUGUUAACUCCUUGUGCUUGGAGGUAGCAGAAGGAUGUGGAGGAGGAGGAUGGAUGCAUUGCCCUGCACUUCUUAUACUGGAAGAAGAAUACAGGAUGAAGCAUGGUAUUUUUCUCUCCUGAGCUGACACCCAGAAGAAUAUCCCCAGGCUGCUGUGUGAACAGACAUGGAAACAGUCUGCUAACUGCUGUCCAUGGCAGAGGGAUGCCUGCAGACUUCAUGCCAGCAAACCCUACCAGCCCAUGGUGCUCAGUGCUGGGCAGAAAGCCCCACGAGCCCUUUGCCAGAUCCUGUGCAGGAAACCUGAGGCAUCGUUUUGGGAGCAUUUGCAGCUCUUGCAGCUUCUGGAUCACUGCCUGAUAUCCUAGACUCAAGCUACCUAUGGCUAACUGUGCUGCUGAGUGUUCAGAGGAAAGAACCUGAUGGAAACCAGCCCAGCUCCAUCAGGGGUUGCUGAGCAUACACUUAGUGCACCUCAUUUAUGUUAAGCCUUAUUUUUUCCUUGGAAGUGCUUUGAAGCAAGAUGCUCCCCAGGCUCCAGCAGCAAACUGCCCCAGGUGGCUGUGUCAGGGGCUCUGAGAGCACCUUCCAGUGCACCCCAAAGGCCUCUGAUCCCACUCAGCUCUCAGCCCCCAGCUCUGCACCCCAUGCACCAACACUGGGUGAUGCAAUACUAAGUAACAUAGGACACAGUGUGCAUGGAUCCUCACCACCAACUCAGUGGAGCUAAAAGGUCUAAUAAUUUCAUACCAAGCGAAGCCUAUAGAAACAUUCCCAAAGAUUAGAAAGUCAAGCUUCAAAGGAAGCCACGAAACGCUUCGUUAAAGCUGAGUAUUUUAAGUGAGCAGUGGUCAUGAAAAGCAACAGAACAAUCUGAGCUCGGAGCAUUGCCACUGCAAAAUGCAUGCUGUGGGACAGCAGUGUCAUGAGCACUGUCUCCCAGACUCUGCAGUAUAAACCAAGUGGAUUUAUUCCUGGCUCUGUAUCCAGCUGUUCUGCUCCAGCCCUGUCCCAGCUCCGACCUGCGGCAGUGCCCACAGUGCUGCUCCUGCACAGCCUCAGUCCUCUCCUCCAGCACGGAUCUGCGGCUCAGCUCUUAAAAGCUGUUUCAUAAAUAUUCCA
rnacentral:lncRNA from 1 species